rnacentral:rRNA from 1 species
AUUGAACGCUGGCGGCAGGCUUAACACAUGCAAGUCGAGCGAGCGGCGGACGGGUGAGUAAUGUCUGGGAAACUGCCUGAUGGAGGGGGAUAACGACUGGAAACGGUAGCUAAUACCGCAUACCCUCCGAUGUGCCGAGAUGGGAUUAGCUAGUGGGUGGGGUAAUGGCUCUCCUAGGCGACGAGCCCUAGCUGGUCUGAGAGGAGGACGAGCCAGACGGGAAGGGAGACAGGCACGAGACCCCAAGGGGAGGCGGCGUGGGGGAAUAUUGCAAAAGGGGCGCAGGCCUGAGGCGGAAAGGCGGCGGGGGGGUGAGGGGCUUUCGGGUUGAAAGGCACGUUCAUCGGGGAGACGUUACUCGCAGAAAAAGCAACGGCUAACUCCGUGCCAGCAGCCGCGGUAAUAC